ACACCCGCGAACGCCCGCUCGCGAGUGCGUGCCAGACACGGUGGGCUGGUCUUCGCUGGAGGCCCUUUGUGGGUCCGUGAUGAUCGGAGGUGUUCUGUGCCUGUGUUUCUAUGUCAGUCUGAACGUUCGGGGUUGUGAGUACCUGUUGUACUCUACAUGUCUCUUGAGUAUUUGUGUCACUUGACUCUAGGUCUGUGUCUCUUCCUAUUCGUGGCGGGUAUCUGCCUGAGCAUGUUUGUAAAUAUGCUUGUGUCUGUGUAAUUCUGUGUGUCUGUGUUACUCUAUGCGUCUGAGUUUCAGUCUCUGUAUUUGUGACCAGGUCCUCCUGGGUGUGUCCAUUAAUUCAUGUGUCUGUUAGUUUGCGGCGGAACAGGUGUGUGUGUGUGUGUGUGUGUCUGUGAUCCUGGAUCUGUAUGCCAGUUCCUCACUGGGGGUUUCUGAGAACCUGCAUCUCUUUGCUUGUAUGUCUUUUUGUCUAUCUGUGUGUUCAUUUCUACCCUCUCUAGUGAGGACAGAAUUCCAAGACCCUACCAAGCCCUUCUUUUUUCUGAUGGGGGAACUGAAUUGCCAGGGAAUGGGGCCACAUCACAGCUAAAAGGAGACAAGAGGAGACAGAAGCUCGUUGAUAUACAAAGUUUUAUGUGACCUGAGCCCCUCUGGAGGCACCAGAGUCCACACUCUGUACUCAGAAGAUGGUGAUGCUACUGCUUUCAAGGUGAUGCUACUGCACAGAGAAGGGGA
rnacentral:lncRNA from 1 species